AUUAUAAAAAAGAUGUAUUAAGAUCUCAUUUCAAAACUUUUAGUGAAGCUGGACAUGGCGGUACACACCUGUAAUCCCACUAGCUUCAGAGGCUGAGGCAGAGGGAUCACAAGUUCCAGGCUGCUCUCGGUAACUUAGCAAUGACAUCUCAAAAUAAAAAAUGAAAUGGAUGGGUGAUGUAGCUCAGUGGUGGAGUGGCGGCAGCAGCUGGAGAUAAGUAUAUAGUCUUUAAAAAUCUAAAUGCCUUGAUUCCAUUCCCACUACUGCAAAAAUAAAUAAAUAAAAUAAAAAUUUAUAGUAAAAAAAAAGAGUAACAACCACAUUCAAUUUUCAAUGACAAUAGAAUGGAAGUUUAUUUUUUUCAUAUAGGAAUAACAAGGUACAAGAAAAUCCUUGCAAAGGAACAUAAAGUGAUACUUGAUUGGAUUUCAAUGUCAGAGGUGUUAAACUGUUAAACAUCUACGGCCCUACAGGUGACAGAAGCAAUCUCAAAUUCUUUAAGCAUGACGAAUGGACGUCCUGAAGAUAAAGGGGAAAAUGCUGGAGAGAGAGGGUGAACGGAAGAGAGUGGAGAAAAUACAGGUCACUUUCCACUAAAAGGAAUCAGGGCUCCGUGGAAAGGUGGCUGAUUAUGUCUGGGGAAGGAAAUGUACAAAGAAGUCUGGAAUAUUUUGUUAUAUAAAAACCAGGAAAACCUUCAGAGUCUACUAGAUUCUGGUCAAAAGGACUUGGGAGCCAACUUGAAGUUACUUGUUUGAGCAUCACAAGAGACGUGAGCUGGAAUGAACUGAUACCUCAUCAAUCUACUGAAAUCUAUGAGUUCUUAUUGGCAGGAAUUUUUUUUAAAGGAGGAAAAGCACUCACUUAGUCACUCUUGGAUGAUGCAUACCAGUAAAUAAAUGGAGAAUAAUUAGAAACAUUAUUCUUCAGUGUAAACACACAUCCAUGAGAGCAUAAUAAGAGGAUUCAUUAGAGGAUGUUUCCCUGCGGAAUUGUCCCAGGUAAUCAAUGACAGUAACACAUUUGUAAUAUCACAGUUUUUCCAUGCUUCAUGAAAUGAUGGUUCUAGGUGAUGAUCAGGAGCAGCUGCUAAUAUUAUAGAGACAACUGGAUGCUACGUGCCCCACCCUGCCCCCAUCUGCCCCAGUGGAGAAGCACAGCGCUCCCCAUGAUAUAGUUGUAGAGUCCUAAGGGUCUUUGUGGGUUUGUCUCCUAUUAGCAGGCUCAGCUGAUCUCUGGGUAAAGUUCACGUAACUUAAUUCUCAUCAUUGGUGUGUGGCCAAGAGGAGAGGAGAGAGAAGACAGUGAGGGAAGCCUGAGUUAUUUUUCAAGACUGAUGCUUCUACAUCAUCUUUAUGAAAAAGGGCGGUCCUCGACACCAACAAGGAAAACCAACCACUUCUGCAAGCCCAGAGAGUUCAGGGAAGUUGGGGAAUCCAAGAUCUUCAAUUGCAUCAACCCGGACAUUCCCAUCCCGUGUCUCCAGGUCUUGUACUUUCCCAUUUGCAGUCUUGACCUUGGCAUGGCAAAUGGUCUGAGAAAGAAAACACCCUGGAGCUCGGCUACUCUAGUAUUAAAUCCUAGGCUUGGUCCUUAGCUUCAUCCAGCCUCUGGCUGCAGGAGAUGAGGCUUUAUAUUCUGUCAUGAAAACUCUGUCUUUCACAUUUGUCCUGUGAUUUCUGACUUUAGCUGCACCUUCAGCUUGUAUUGCUUUUCUAGAUCACCAAUCGCUCCCAGCAACAGUCAUCCAGGUCUGUUAUUCAUAUAGUUAUUAUAAACUGCUUUCACAGAUAUAUAACGUCUCAGAAGAUGUUGUUCCCUACAACAUUGUUUACAGUCUUUCCAAAAAGCUUUUUAUUCUCAUUUUUUAGCCAUUAAAGAGACUGUAGUGACAACGAGGCUGUGAUAAAUGUGUCUUGACAUCUCAUGUAAAAUCGACAGCCCUGCUCUCUCCCACAUUGUGGGUAAAAUACAAUUAUCCAGAUCAAACAGAAACUCAGAGAAGAACACGUUCACACUGAAUUUCCCAUUCAGGAAGGUGAUGGUUUAUUUUGGCAUAGAAAUAUAACAAAGGAAAAAGUGGGGAUUAAUAAUUAUAAAAGAAAAACUUAAAGAGAAAGACUGUGAAAAUCCGUAAGGUAGAAAUAUUGAAAUCAACCCAUGGAUUCUUGAGCUUGAUGACCUGGUGCCCAAGAGUUAGGAAGGAAAUUGUGGAGAGAACUAGUCAGGUCAACAUGGCAGUUGGUAUAUUACUAGCAAAUUCACACAUGGAUAGGAGUGAGAGAGCCAUGCACAGGCAGAGCAUGGAGGCCAGGAUGUGCCUGUGGCAUUACUGGGCCUAUUGUGGGCUUAUUAAAAUCACAAGACCCAGCUUAGAGGAGUGACAUCAAUCCCUCUCCAUUUGACCUAGUGGUCAGCAGUGAAAGAACUCUUCAUCUGUGGGGAGGGAGGAGAUAAGGAGGUGGGGUGUU